rnacentral:snoRNA from 1 species
UCUAUUUCUAUAUGAUGAUUUUUUCAAGUAGGAAUCUCAUUGAGCUUCAGUCAUUCGUUGCCAUGAAAUCAACUUCUUUUCCUGAACAUAAUAUC